UACGAAGGGGGCAAGCGUUGUUCGGAAUUACUGGGCGUAAAGCGCACGCAGGCGGCUCGAUAAAUUAGAAGUGAAAGCCCCGGGCUUAACCUGGGAAUUGCUUUUAAGACUGUCGGGCUAGAAUCCAGAAGAGGGUAGUGGAAUUCCGAGUGUAGAGGUGAAAUUCGUAGAUAUUCGGAAGAACACCAGUGGCGAAGGCGACUUACUGGACACAUAUUGACGCUGAGGUGCGAAAGCGUGGGGAGCAAACAGG
rnacentral:rRNA from 1 species